ACCAAGUGAGAAGAAUCAUAAGAAUAUGGGAUCUUGAAAAACACGAAAACAUCCUAAGAAAUACCAGGAAGCAGUCCCACAGUGAAACACCAAUGAAACUCAAGGUGACUGCCUAAAAUAAAAAAUCAUAGAUCUUAGGAGAAAGGGGGCAAGGAAGUAAAUCAAAGGGCAAAGCUGAAGACCAAGUGGACUGAAAAGAAGAUGGAAUACAUUUUCCCAAACACUGGUGUUCUCUGGAGUUGGCUUAUCAACAUCUUGUGUAAUAGUCAUAUAAUUGUCCCUCAUUUCUAUCUCCUCCUAAAACUGGAGAAAUGGCCUAUUAAUUUUAGAAGGUGUAUAAUUACCACAAAGCCCUCAGAUUAAGGUCCAGGACACAGAAUGGAAUAUAUGAGCAUGCAGAAAUGUAUAUCUUUAGAUUGAACUUCGAUGAUUUACCUUUUGACUGUCACCACCAGCAAAUCCUGAAAUUGAAUCCCUUGAAACUUAUGGUUUUCUUUCAGCAGCAUAGGAGUUAAGUUUUCUUCUAACUUGCCCUAGGUUCUCUCAGGAACUGGGAAAGCAGUUCUCCCAAAUCCCAAGUAAGUUAUUCAAGACAAUAUAAGGCAGAGCUAAAUUCUUCUGUUGAAGAAUUUAACAUGACUCAAACCAUAAGGAAAUCUAAAGAAGGCUGCCAAACUAUUUCGCUGCUGCCCUCCCCCACUAAAAAAGAGAGAUAAAAAUGUUAGAUUUACAAAGCAAACUACAGUGUAUGGAAUAUAUCUAUCUAUAUAUAUAUAGAUAUAUAUACACACACACAAUUUUUUUAACCUACCACUUUGCCUUAUUUGCAUGAGCACAAAUUGCUUUCAACUUAAUGCCAGAGAAAAAGGCAACAUUCCCCGUGAUGACUUGCUGAAAAGCUCACUGUAUUUGUUUGAUAAUGGAUUUUAGUUCAUUGUCAUGUACUUCACUCUUCAUCAGCAGGAGCACUUCAGGGUAAAGAAACAGGCUUUUACCACACUGGAACAAAAGCUAUAUAAGGAAAAAAAAUCCUGAGCAGAUGGAAUAUUAUUUGCAUUUGCACAAAUAGUGCUUUUUAGCACAAUUCAUAUUACUCCAUUGUGAGCUAAAGUAAGCCAGAUGUGUCUACAGCAUGCUGCAGACGCAGAAUCGGCUUUUUGUUUGUCAGACUCAGAGGUCCCAACCUUAUGAUAUCUUUGUACUUGUAUAUCCAUUAGUUUUAUUUCAGUUACUUAUCAGAAGGGAAAAGAAAAAAAUGGCACUAUGCAGUUAAGAGGACCAUUGCAUGGAGGGCUAAAUUAACUAUUUUUUAUUUUCAUGAAUGAGGAUCAAAUAGGUUUCAGAUGUCUCAACAUCUAUCUGGAGAUCUAGAUGAUGAUAUAAAAUUAAAAUGCAGAAUGUAAGUGUAAUAAAAUUUGUUUCUCCAUGAUUACAUUAAA